rnacentral:tRNA from 1 species
GAGGGUGUAGCUCAAGAGGUACAGCGCGUGCUUAGCAAGCACGAGGUCCUGGGUUCAAUCCCCGGUACCGCCU